rnacentral:rRNA from 1 species
AACGAACGCUGGCGGCAUGCCUAACACAUGCAAGUCGAACGAGACCUUCGGGUCUAGUGGCGCACGGGUGCGUAACGCGUGGGAACCUGCCCUUAGGUUCGGAAUACCUCCCCGAAAGGGGUGCUAAUACCGGAUAAUGUCUUCGGACCAAAGAUUUAUCGCCUUUGGAUGGGCCCGCGUUGGAUUAGCUAGUUGGUAGGGUAAAAGCCUACCAAGGCGACGAUCCAUAGCUGGUCUGAGAGGAUGAUCAGCCACACUGGGACUGAGACACGGCCCAGACUCGUACGGGAGGCAGCAGAGGGGAAUAUUGGACAAGGGGGGAAAGCCUGAUCAAGCAAUGCCGGGUGAGUGAUGAAGGCCGUAGGGUUGUAAAGCUCUUUUAGCCGGGAUGAUAAUGACAGUACCGGGAGAAUAAGCACCGGCUAACUCCGUG